rnacentral:rRNA from 1 species
GACGAACGCUGGCGGCGUGCUUAACACAUGCAAGUCGAACGGAGAGGCCCUGCUUUUGUGGGGUGCUCGAGUGGCGAACGGGUGAGUAACACGUGAGUAACCUGCCCUUGACUUUGGGAUAACUUCAGGAAACUGGGGCUAAUACCGGAUAGGAGCUCCUGCUGCAUGGUGGGGGUUGGAAAGUUUCGGCGGUUGGGGAUGGACUCGCGGCUUCUCUGCUUGUUGGUGGGGUAGUGGCUUACCCAGGCCUUGACGGGUAGCCGGCCUGAGAGGGUGACCGGCCACAUUGGGACUGAGAUGCGGGCCAGACUCCUACGGGAGGCAGCAGUGGGGAAUAUUGCACGAUGGGCGGAAGCCUGAUGCAGCAACGCCGCGUGCGGGAUGACGGCCUUCGGGUUGUAAACCGCUUUCGCCUGUGACGAAGCGUGAGUGACGGUAAUGGGUAAAGAAGCACCGGCUAACUACGUG